UGCUUAAAGAGGGGCUUGCGCCACAUUAGUUAGNUGGUAAGGUAAAGGCUUACCAAGACGAUGAUGUGUAGCUGGACUGAGAGGUUGAACAGCCACAUUGGNACUGAGACACGGCCCAAACUCCUACGGGAGGCAGCAGUAAGGAAUUUUUGGCAAUGGAGGAAACUCUGACCGAGCGACGCCGCGNGAACAAUGAAGUACUUCGGUAUGUAAAGUUCUUUUAUUGAAAAAGAAAAAAUAGUGGAAAAACUAUCUUGACAUUAUUCAAUGAAUAAGCCCCGGCUAAUUAUGUGCCAGCAGCCGCGGUAAUACAUAAGGGGCGAGCGUUAUCCGGAAUUAUUGGGCGUAAAGGGUGCGUAGGNGGUUUGAUAAGUCUAUAGUUUAAUUGCAGUGCUUAACGCUGUACCGCUAUAGAAACUGUCUGACUAGAGUUAGAUAGAGGCAAGCGGAAUUCCAUGUGUAGCGNUAAAAUGCGUAAAUAUAUGGAGGAACACCAGAGGCGUAGGCGGCUUGCUGGGUCUUAACUGACGCUGAGGCACGAAAGCGUGGGGAGCAAACAGGAUUAGAUACCCUGGUAGUCCACGCCGUAAACGAUGAGUACUAAGUGUCGGGUUUUGGCUCGGUACUGAAGUUAACACAUUAAGUACUCCGCCUGAGUAGUACGUACGCAAGUAUGAAACUUAAAGGNAUUGACGGGACCCCGCAC
rnacentral:rRNA from 1 species